rnacentral:rRNA from 1 species
UGGGCAACCUGCCCCCGACCCUGGGAUAACCCCGGGAAACCGGAGCUAAUACCGGAUACUCUCCUCCGACCACAUGGUCUGAAGAGGAAAGGUCCGCCGGUCGGGGAUGGGCCCGCGGCCUAUCAGCUUGUUGGUGGGGUCAUGGCUCACCAAGGCGACGACGGGUAGCUGGUCUGAGAGGGUGUCCGGCCACACUGGGACUGAGAUACGGCCCAGACUCCUACGGGAGGCA